rnacentral:lncRNA from 1 species
CACUUUGCACAGACCUUCUUAAUUCCGUGAACAAAUCCGGCGUGCAGAGACUUGUUAAUUCCAGCGGAAUUGAAUCUAAGAAUUCCGUGAACAAAUUAUGACGAUGAUACUAUGUCAGUUAAUAUAAAAUUGAAUGAGAAAUCUGGAAUUAAAUUACUUAGCAAAUUCAGCAAAGAAAACGAAAUUGCUUAGCAAUUCGAACGAGAAAGAGGAUUAAACUUACCUUGCACAGGUGACGACUGACAAAACCAAGACAGAGGCAGCGACGGCAGAGACUAAACAAUUCGAACAAGACAAAAUCAACUCAAAGAAUGAUUGCAAUCUGCAGACGGAUCGCCGGUGCACCGGAACAGAAGUUAACGCAGCAGUGGGUGUGACUAUAUCUUUUGCAAUUCGUUAAUUAGGGAUCAAGUUUUCCCUUUGUAUUUUUUUAUUCUUUUAAAAAGUAAAUCCUUUUUUCCUUUAAAUUUAUAUCGGUGGAAUUUUUUUAAAAAAGUACUUAACCGGUUAUAAACCGGUUAUAUAUAAUUUAAUUAAAUUUUUUUAUUAUUUUAUUAUUAUUGUGAAUCGUUGAUUUAAUC